AGCGAACGCUGGCGGCAGGCCUAACACAUGCAAGUCGAACGAACCUUUCGGGGUUAGUGGCGGACGGGUGAGUAACACGUGGGAACGUGCCUUUAGGUUCGGAAUAACUCAGGGAAACUUGUGCUAAUACCGAAUGUGCCCUUCGGGGGAAAGAUUUAUCGCCUUUAGAGCGGCCCGCGUCUGAUUAGCUAGUUGGUUGAGGUAAUGGCUCACCAAGGCGACGAUCAGUAGCUGGUCUGAGAGGAUGAUCAGCCACAUUGGGACUGAGACACGGCCCAAACUCCUACGGGAGGAAGCAGUGGGGAAUCUUGCGCAAUGGGAGAAAGACUGACGCAGCCAUGCCGCGUGAAUGAUGAAGGUCUUAGGAUUGUAAAAUUCUUUCACCGGGGACGAUAAUGACGGUACCCGGAGAAGAAGCCCCGGCUAACUUCGUG
rnacentral:rRNA from 1 species